UCCGCGUGCCCAGUCAUCCUCCCGCCGCCGCCACCCUUGUCCGCCAGCGUCCUGCGGGGCCGCGAAGACCCGACCCGCCUUCCUGGGGGCCCCGGAGGGCCGACUGUGGCUGCACCAGCACCGUCCCGCGGGGAUUUCCCCGGCCCUGCGCGCUGAGUCGCUGGCCGCGGUGCCUGAGCCGAGCCGGCCUACUAAGGCAGAAGCAGCGCUCAGAUCGGCCUCUGUGCGGGGGCCCCGCGCGUUCCCCUGGCGGGCAGGGCUGGGGGCCACGAACCGACUAGUCGGGGCGACCCGGGGAGGGGCCGGGGUCGGUGGCCGCUCGAGCUCACCGCCAGGCACCGUGUCGCAAGCGGCCAAGCUGAGGCGCCACCGCUGCAGUCUCUCGGCCUUGAGGACGUGACAUCCAGCGCCUAACCUGGGAGCUCAACGAGGGAAGGGAGACUUUGAGUCUGCAUUAAAAGGUUUCACGGCACAGGGCCCAGGACGCGUCGCGACAACUACCUGGUCCUGAAGAACAUCUUUUGUGGGUACCUGGCCGGUGUGUCAAACCUUACCAUAAGCUACACGCCCAAGAAAAGAAAGCUAAUAUGGCCAAAGAUUACAAGAUAUGAUUGGCCUCCUAAUUGGCCCGCAGUGGAGGAUACUCAACCCCCGACACCUCCGAUGAUUGACAUGUCUAAUCUCUCAUUUCAACCAGCCUGUCCGAGGCCAACCGCUCCUUCAGCUUUUCGAGUAAUUACUCCGUGAACAAGGAGUGCUUCUCUACCUACUUGGUGUCAAUUGAAAAGGCUGGCUCAAGUAGCUGAACAUCAGCUGUCAGAAGAAAAUAUUCCAAAAGCAGAGGCCAACAUGCUAAUAUCUAUGAUGGCAGUUCUUGCUGUUACAUGUACCCCGUGAUCUGAGAUACGAGCUCAUCUUUUGGGACUGUAGAUAUUCUGCAGUUGCAACAAGAAGUGGAUCAUAUGUCAUCUGCUAAUCUCCAGCUCCUCCUGGGAGAGGAUGCCCUUUCCAUGGCUGCAAAAGGAUUUUCUACUCUGAACCCACUCACAUGGGUGAAAAACCUUGGUGGAGGUUUUGCUGGUGCUUUUGCACUCCUAUUAAUCAUUCUAUUUCUGUUUUGUCUAAUCCUCCGGUGUGGACAACAAGUCCUCCAGAGGGCCAUAGAUGAAGAAACUGCAAAGUCCGUGUUUCUCCUUCUACAAAAACAGAAAGGGGGAGAUUUUGCCUUACAGCUACAUCCACGACUGCUCCCCUGCACUAACCCGUGACCUAAUGAGGUCCUCAGGAAGUGUCUCGGAAUGCUGAGACCCGAUGGAAUGAUAUCGGUCAUCUCCCUUAUUUGGAUGGACGUGGUACAGUAACGCUGUCCUGGGGGUUGUGCAGGCUGUAUGAAGGCACAGUACAUGUUGGAAUACAAUGGGAGCUGGUUAAUGGAAAACAGCCUUAAGGCACGUGACACACAGGUCUUUGAGUAAUCCAGUUUCACUUCCUUGAAAUUUUCUCAAUAAAAGCCAUGCGUUGGUCCGAUUAGGGGCUCAGUCCACAAGGCUGGUGCCCCCUGGUCCCGCUUUAGCCUUA